CAAAAAAUAGUUUAUUAAAAAUAUUAAUUUUGGAUAUUAAUGAUAUAAGUUUUAUUUAUUUUUUUGA
rnacentral:tRNA from 1 species